rnacentral:rRNA from 1 species
AUGGAGCAGGCGGACCACGGCGACCUGGCGGCGCUCCUGCCGGAGGCCGUGCUCGCCGACGUGCUGCGUCGCGUGGAGGCACCGCGCUGGCUAGCAGUGUCACGCUGCGUCUGCAAGGCGUGGCGAGCCAUCAUCGAUGGUGAGAACCUCCUGCGUACAGAUCUCCCGCUUAGCGGGUUCUUCAUCACCUUCAAGGAGCUCUGUUUGCCCGAGUUCUUCUCCCGCCCCUUGUCGCCGUUUGGUCGGCCAGCAAUCAGCGGCAAGCUCGAUUUCCUACCCACAGCCAUUAAAGUUCAUCCUGAUGGGUGGAGCUUGGACGGCGACUACUACAUCCAGGAUCACUGCAAUGGGCUCCUAUUGCUCGACGGCUACGUGGUUAACCCGGCCACACGCCGCUGGAAAUCUCUGCCCUCAUGCACGCGCAGUCAUACUACAGCCGGGGGAAUCCUCCGUGGUAUUUUCUCCGAUCAUUACUAUCUGGCCUUUGAUCCCACGGUGUCAUCCCACUACCAGGUGUUUCAGAUUCCUUAUUUGCGUUGGGCGGGAGGUGAGUUUGACCCUUUAGAGGAGGCAUCCGAAUGGCCUCCAUCUCCAUAUAUCUUGCGUGUAUUCUCUUCUAGGAGAGGACGUUGGGAGGAGAGGUUGUUUGUUCGUGAAGGGGAUGCCGCAGGAACCCUUGCAAAGGCGCGUGUGUUUGGUAUCCGACUCCGCUCCGUCUAUUGGCGCGGAUCCCUUUACGUGCAUUGUCAAAGUGAUUUUAUUAUGAGAAUAUCUUUGUCUGAAGAUAAGUACAAUGUGAUUAAGCCACCAAUGAGUGUUGGACUUUCCAAUUAUAUAGGAUUAUCAGAGAAAGGAGUGUACCACGCGUCAUUUGUUAAGAAUCACAUUCGCAUCUGUAUACUGAAUGAAUCAUGCGAUAAGUCAGAGUGGAUAUUAAAGCACGACUAUGACCUUAUUAAGCCAAUGGAAGUGUUUGAUCAUCAAGUUCAUGGACCAUGGAUCUUAGAAGACAUUAACUAUGGAAUCUUUCGUUCUCAUCUCCCAAGUAUCAACAAGGAAGAAGUAAUUCAAGAGAAAUUUGAAUGGAACUCCGACGACGAUGAUUUCUGUGAGAAUGUAGACAUGGUUGAAGUGCACCAUCGCCGUCCAUAUUUUGAGAUCGAGAUACUUGGAUUUCACCCAUACAAAGAGAUUCUCUUUUUUAGUAGGUCAGAGACCUAUAAAUUAAAUGCAAUGGCGUUUGCCUAUCAUUUGAAUAGCUUCAAGGUUGAAAGUUUAGGUAGCAUAUACCCAACAGGUCACCAAUAUUUCGACUCUGGCCUUCCUAAUGAAAAUCGGGAGAUUAAAUCUUUUCCAUACACGCCAUGUUGUUGGAUCGAAGAGACCCCAUAA